ACCGAAUUCUUCCCCACCCACUUGUCUCUCCCCCAGUAGUCGGCCGCACCCCGGCCACCUCGCAGGCUCACGCCGGCGUGCCCCCCCGCCGCCAAUCACCUUCUGCGCCGCCUCCCACCUCGCGCGAGCGCCGCAUCCACCUCCCUCCCCCCCCGCGUGCGCCGCCGCCUUCAACCUCCCCCGCGCACCUGGUGCCGCAUCCUCCCGCAGGCCUGGCUCGUGCUCGUGCUCUCUGCAGCCUGCGCACGCGACCGGAGCACGGGGGUGGCCGCGCGGCACCACCGCGCGGACCGGAGCAUGGGGGCGAACGCGCGCCACCGCCACGACAAGCCGCGACCUCAACCGCGCUCGCCGACGCGACCCCCGCCUCCCCGCGGUGGCUCCCUAUUCGAACUCCUGGAAGGAGUUGGUGACGACCGCCUCGGCGAGAGUCAUCAGUGCCCGGUAAAGUUGAGUUCGUCAGUACUGCAUUUCAAAUCUAAAUGUUUAUAUAGUUUGGGGUGUAGCCAGAAUUUCAGAUGGUCUAAGUACUAGGGACCUUGCUCAAAUUAGAUUAUGAGGGAAUUUUUCACCAUUGGAAGCCUCUGUUUAUGCAUUUUGAUACAUAUUUUAAGACAUGCAUCUCUUCUAGUAAGGAUCUUCUCUUGUCUGAUGAUAUGACUGAGUGUGAACCGUUGAUGCAAAUUUUGAGAGUUACGCAAAUUGUGUUGGAAGAUUGCCAGAACAAAACAUCUUUCGCUGGCCUUGAGCAUUUUAAGAAUCUGCAUGCAUCAUCAGAUCCUGAAGUACUUGUUGCGGCUUUGGAAACUCCUGCUUCAGUGGUGAAAAUAAAUCCUUCAAAAUUACAUAUCAAUGGAAAACUAUCAACAGUGGAGCUAUAAGCAGCUCUUCAAUCAUUGUCCCAAGGAUGGGGUAGCAAGGAGGAAGGUCUAGGCUUGUAUUCGCGUGUUGUGGGAAAUGACCGAAAUCAGCUGGAGGGUUUGUGUUUAUUCCCAGCAGCCAUGGAGAACAAAUAUGAUGGCACACAAAAUCGUCUUGAGUCCACUCUUCAUUUUGAGUAUAAUUUGGCACCCGUCCAAGAUUCUGACCAGACCAAUGAGAAGAACAAGUCAUCUAAUCUUUGUGUGAUAUAUAUCCCAGACCUGCACCUUCAGAAGGAGGAUGACUUGGGCAUAUUGAAGCAAUGUAUUGACAAGUUAAUGUGCCUCUAGAGCACUGGUUUGCUUUGUAUACAAGGAUAAGAUAUGCACAUGCUUUUAAUUCCUCGAGGACAUGCAGGCUAUAUGGACGUAUAAGUCUUCUUUCUUCCAUUGUUCUUGUGCAAUCCAGUGAUGCCCGUGACGAACUAACUCGUUCUUGACAAAUGAGCCAGAGUACACAAAUGAGUUAAUCCGGCUUGUUCGGUCAGAAGAUAAUGUUCCUUGGUCCAUCCGUGCAUUGGCUAAGCUUGUACUGGGAGCACAGUUAGCAGCAUAUGUAACAUCUCAUGAGUGAGCUGGGAUACUUGAGUGAAUUAAGUAUCAUCUCUGCUGGUGGAAACCGCAUGGUCUUGCUCAGUGUUGUGCAGAAAGCAGCAUCUUCCCUCAGUAGCCCUAGUGAUACUUCAUCUCCGUCAGUUGUUGAUGCCUUUUUGCAGUUCUUUUUGCUUCAUGCGCUGUCAUCUUCGAGUUCUGGGACCACCGUCAGGGGUUCAGGAAUGUCCCUCUCUCCUGCAAGAUAAGGAUCCUUCUCACAUGCAUCUUGUCAGUUUGGCAGUAAAGACCCUUCAGAAGCUGAUGGACUACAGCAGACCUGCUGUUUCCCUGUUUAAAGAUUUGGGUGGUGUAGAGCUUUUGUCUCAGAGGUUACACGUGGAGGUGCAGCGUGUUGUUGGUGUUGCUGACAGUCUUACUUCAGUGAUUGCUAGUGAUACAUUGAAAUUGGAAGAUGACCAUUUCUACUCACAGAAGCUGCCGAUUAAGGCUUUGCUCAAGGCAUUAGGUUCUGCUACAUAUUCUCCUGCAAAUCCUGCUUGCUUUCAAAGUUCCAAUGAUAACUCUUUGCCCAUGUCACUUUCCCUUAUAUUCCAGAAUGUUGGCAAGUUUGCUGGUGAUAUUUACAUCUCGUCAGUUACUGUUACGAGUGAGAUAAUACAUAAGGAUCUACAUGCUUUCCUGCUUUGAAGGAACUUGAUCUUCCUGAUGCUUCCUGUCAUCAGUGACUGCUGGGUUAUGCCAUCUUGUAGCUCUUAUAUGUGUACCCAAAGAGCAAGGAAGACAGUGAGAGAGACGAGUUCUUGAGACAGAUGCUUGAAAUGAAUGCAAGGACAAUGUCGGGUCCGAAGCGCUGCCUUGGUGACAUGAUCGCAGUGGCCGACGUGGCUAUGGCGGAGCUCGAGGCCACAAAGCGCGUGCGGGAGGUAGUGGAGACGGAGCUGCAUGGGGGCUAGGUGCAGGCCUCCAUCCCAGCUGCGUCAAUACAGGCACUCGAGGCGACGAUCUCGCAUCUCCAGUAGGAGAUCAGUAAGGUGGGCACUGAUCUGGAGCUGCUUUAAGGUCAGAAACUUUGGAAGUCAGAAUCAAUUUAGGCUCCUGGUCUAUUACUUAAAUAUGACGUGCUUGUCUUUAUGAUUGGAAUUGGAACUGGCGGGUUGCGCUUCUGGUACUUGAUGUAAUGUCUCCAAAGAUCAAGGAAGACAGUGAGAGGCAUUCUCAACAGAAGGUUUCUGUAGACUUAGCAAAGAGGUGCUCCGGAUCGCCAUCAGCAGAUGGUAUGCAAGCCAAGUCAGUAGAAGGGUUGUGCAGAGUAGCCGCGUAGCCAACACAGCAGCAUGGUUGGAGACUUGGGGUGGAGCCAGGAAGAGGCAGCGGUGCUACCGCCAAACGUACCAGAGGAGACGCUGAUUGCACAUGGAGGCGCUGAGCCUGAGCAUGCUCUGAGUCUUAGCGUCAAGGAUAGUGAUAGACAGGGCAAAAAACUUGACCAUUUUUCAGCGUGUAAAGGGCUGGAGCCCCAUUUAAAUCCAGCCAGCGCGACACGCGCUGUAGGGCGACUUGAACCAGUGCGGCAAGCACUGUAGUGCAUACUUUUGAAUGAAACGCUUCCGUUUACCUUGUCGGUAAUUUUAACAUUUUCCAUUUUGUUUGUUUUUCCUUUUUUAAAUAGUAAAGAAACCCUUUUAAUGCGUGUUACCAUUUACUAAUAGUUGCCUAUUUUCCUAGUGCUAUAUCAUACUAUAUAGGAGUAAUUACUUGCCUGUUUUACCCGCAAAAAAACAUUACUUGCCUGUUUUUCGUUUUUGCAUGAAUAAUUGGCGGUUACGACCGUUUCUAUCGGAUCUCGCGUGGUCCGAAUUAGGAGUAGUAGAUAGUAAAAUCGACGGCGCGAUCGGCGGGCAAGUUGCUAAUAUUGGACGGAACGGCAGCAACCCACGCACGCGGCCACCCGCUCCGUCCUAUUUGUACGGGCAUCGCGCCCUCGCGUCUCGCCCACUACGCGCAUCUUCUCGCCCACCUCUCCCUUCUUCCUCGCAGCAAAGCCUCCAGCUUUUUUCUCCCUCCACACACACACGAACAAAGCUCCCCCGAUAGAACCAGAAACUCGCCGCGCUCCUUCGAUGUAGAAGAACAAACGGAGGCCGCGCUCGCGCUUCCUCGGGUCUACUGGCCGGUCUCGAGCGCGAGCCCGACCGGCGCCGCGCCAUGGGCCAUCCGAGGGCGGUGCGGCCGUCCGGAUCCAUGGCUCAAGGCGAGCCAUCCGGCUGCCGCCCCCGCCCGGACCCGAACCGUCCGGACGCUCGCUUCUCGCCGCCCCGGCUAUAAAAUGCCAGGCGGGGGGCGUGCGUGUUCUUGGGAACGGGACCGAAAAUUCCAUCCUCGCAGUCUCAAGGUGAGAUCGACGCCACUACGUCUCGUUCCCCCGCAGCCGAGGCGCACGCGAGCGCAGGUGAAGCCCCGCCCCAGGCGCAGCCAUGACCGGAGGAGGCGAUUGUUCCCCUGCUGCAUGCUGUACUUGUUAUUUAGUCCAAUGUGAUGUUCCCCUUACCAAUGGCCCUAUUUGGCCUGUCGCAAUGGUCUGUUCGCUAUGCCGCAUGGUCUUGCUGACCCCAAUCCAAUCGUUGAGGGUCUUCGGCUACAGUCUCUGGUGGUCUACAAUUCAGUUGCGGAGCUAAUGAACGUGAAGCAGCAGAACUACGGAGAAGACCUGGUUGCAUCAUAUGGGGCGGAGCGCUUGAAGCUGGAGCGAGAGCUUUGUAAACUCAACAAGAUCAUGAACCGUCUGAGGCUGAUCGGUUUCAAAAUAAGGGAGUACAUCAUGAAGGUUGAGCUGGGAAGGCCCCUCAAUGAGCCAAGAGAUUGGAACAGGCAGUAGGAACGCCAGCAGAUGCUAUCUUCAGUAAAGUCUGAAUGGGUAGCGAGAACAGAGAAUUACUUGAUGACAUAGCUGCUAUCUUCACUAGUCUAAAUCUAAAUGGAUGGGUAGUAAGAACAGAGUUACUGCUAUCUUUACUUUGCUCUCUUGGAACUAGGUUUUAUAUCUAUACUAUGCCUGUCUGGAACCACUAUAUCUGUACUUAAGUGUUUGUCUGGAACUACUAUAUCUGUACUUAAAUGCUCAAUAGUUGCUACUAUCUGGAAUCACUCUUCUUCAUUGUAGGGUUUAUUAAUUGCAGAGACCCUUAGAAAAUCUGUUUGCUGGAUGAAA